rnacentral:rRNA from 1 species
AUUGAACGCUGGCGGCAUGCUUUACACAUGCAAGUCGAACGGUAACAGGUUAAGCUGACGAGUGGCGAACGGGUGAGUAAUGUAUCGGAACGUGCCCAGUCGUGGGGGAUAACGUAGCGAAAGCUACGCUAAUACCGCAUACGAUCUCUGGAUGAAAGCGGGGGACCGCAAGGCCUCGCGCGAUUGGAGCGGCCGAUAUCAGAUUAGGUAGUUGGUGGGGUAAAGGCCCACCAAGCCAACGAUCUGUAGCUGGUCUGAGAGGACGACCAGCCACACUGGGACUGAGACACAGCCCAGACUCCUACGGGAGGCAGUAGUGGGGAAUUUUGGACAAUGGGGGCAACCCUGAUCCAGCAAUGCCGCGUACAGGAAGAAGGCCUUCGGGUUGUAAACUGCUUUUGUACGGAACGAAAAGGCUCUGGUUAAUACCAGGGGCUCAUGACGGUACCGUAAGAAUAAGCACCGGCUAACUACGUGCCAGCAGCCGCGGUAA